GGUGGAGGAAGGAAGCACCGGGCCUUCCCUAGCUCUGAGCCUGGGCCUCCUGGAGGUGGGUGGUUGAGUACAGCAGAGAGCAGCUGUGUCCCUGCUUGCUGGGCUCCCUGUUGUGCCUCCGUGUCUGCUCCAGUCAGAUUGCCCCUCCCUUCUCUGCAUCCAGCACUUGGCCUUGACUCUUCAGGACCCUUCUCCUGGGUCAGUGUCUCACUCUCACCGUGGAGCUCUGCUCUUCCUGCUCCUGGCUCCACAUCCAGCUCAGCCCCUGCCCCGCCCCCUCCAGGGAGACCCGGAGAGGAGACUGAGAGCCUGCUUCAGCAUGGGGAUACCUCAGUGCCCAGCCUGCCACUCCUGACCUACAUAUGAGAAGAAGAAAGAAAUCCAGGCCUUGUUCCCAGCUACAGCUGGUGCCAACCAAAACCCCGCAGGAAGAAAAUGGAGCAGGAGCCUGCUGCCCAGGGGCCUGGCUGCUGACACAGGCCCUUUCUAUUCUGCUGUCCGCUACAGCCCCUCAAUGGACACCCUUCACCUGUCUUCUUGGCCCCAGUGUAAAUAAUCUCCCAUUAACCUCACAAACUUGGGUAAAUCCAGGUCCCACCACUGCCCUACCAUGUUUUCCUUCCUCACCCACCCAUUGCCUGAAAUGAGCUAGGCUCCUUCCCUGCCAGCCUAGUGCCUACCCUACCAGAUGAGGACUGCAGUGCCUGUCUGGGGAAGUUGCACGAGUGCCUUCUCCAUGGAGCCAUAGGGGAGACCCUGCUUUGCUUCCAAGAUGGACCUAGGACGAUGUUCCACCCUGUGCUGGGUGCCAGCCUUUCACUCACACAUGGAGGCCAUCACAGUGGGGUCUGUGGGCAUGAUGAACAGCUAGUUCUACAGAGGUGAAAGUACAGUACUUUAAAGUCACCCAGAGACAAAAGUGGUUUAAAAGUUGCCCA
rnacentral:lncRNA from 1 species